CUAAGCUCUGUGUUGCACGACCAGCUUGUUGCCGGUUUGCAGCGGAGUGGAGCUUCGACGGAUCUGAGGAAGCAAAGACGGAGAACAGACCCAGAGAGAAACGAUGAAGCAGCCUGUUGUCGGUUGCAAACUCGCCGGAGAUUAGAAGCUUCCCGAACACCAUCAGUUUAAGAACCGACCCGCAGCGGCCUCUGUUUCCUUUGUCGGAGGACGAUGAUGUCACUGUUUCGGUUCGACCUCGGCAGUCCUAAGUGGAUGUAAAUCCACGCAACAGCUUUGCUCGAUCUCUCCUUGCAUCUCAGGCUAGGUUGUCGUCGGGACUGUGGAAUGGAACUCCACCGAUCUCCGUUUUGUCCCGCGACCCUGAUUCCAAGACCAGUUUUAAAAAAAAAUAAAAAUCUUUUUCAGAGAUUAAGCAUGUGUAUCUUAUGCUAUAGUCAAUGGAUUCGAAUUUAAUAAUGAGAUAUGAUUGUGUAAACUUAUCUCUUUAGCAAUUGUCAUUGUCUAAUGGACCGAGAUUGACGAACACAUAGAUCUAGACUUUCUCAAGUUCAAUUCUUCAAGAAU
rnacentral:lncRNA from 1 species